UACGUAGGCAGCAAGCGUUGUUCGGAAUUACUGGGCGUAAAGGGCGCGUAGGCGGCCUUCUAAGUCAGACGUGAAAUCCCCCGGCUUAACCUGGGAACUGCGUCUGAUACUGGAGGGCUUGAGUAUGGGAGAGGGAUGUAGAAUUCCAGGUGUAGCGGUGAAAUGCGUAGAUAUCAGGAGGAACACCAAUGGCGAAGGCAGCUCGCUGGAACGGUACUGACGCUGAGGCGCGAAAGCGUGGGGAGCGAACAGG
rnacentral:rRNA from 1 species